UGCGCAUUCUCACCGGCAGCACUAGGGUGGAGGUCAGAGUCUCCAGCAAGAGACCAUAUGAGCACUUCACCUCGCUCUUAGCAAGACUGCCUGAGUUUACCGAGAGGGAGAGGCGGCUGUUCAUAGCCGGCUUCUACAUGGCUGAAGGCGAAAAAAGCGGAGACGGGUCAGGAUGUGGAAUAGGGACAUACAGCUGCUCAAGCUGAUAGGUAGCUGGCUGAGAGAAUUCGGCAUAGAGAAGUUCAGCAUAUAUCUCGACGACAAGCGACAUGGAGUCUACGUCUUAGAGAUCCCCAGUAGAUACCGGCAUCUGUUCUUCAACAUAUGGGGGUUGGAAACGCCCUGUGAUCUUUACUAGACCUCCACGCGCCGCCCCCCGAGAGUUCCGGCGUGCAUGAAUGGAUCAACGAGGUCCCCACUGUCCCGGCCUGGGGCCCGGCGAACCCACCUCUAGGUGCACAGUCCUGGGACCCCCGACGGGGCGAGAAGUCCCUGUGGAGCUUCACUGCAGCCUGUCGUUGCGGAGGGGCGGGGGAUGCAGAGCGUAGGCAGGAGCGAUGAAACGGGGCCUCCGGGUCCCGUGGAUGCGGUCCUGGAACACUGCCCAUUCUCCGCCCCUCCGCUAACCUGGGGGCGACCCCGGGGACAGCGGCAGGCGGGCAGUUCGGCUGGGGCGGCACACCCCUGAAAAGAUAUCGGGGGUGCCCUAAGCUCGGCUCAGGCGGGUCAGGACUCCGCCGUAGAGUGUAAGGGCAAAAGCCGGGCUGACUGCGCCCUUGAACGCGAGGGGCGCAGGCGGGAAACCGGGGCCUAGAGAACGCUCGUGCCCCCACCAGUGGGGGCCGGGCAUGACAGAAAAGUUACCCCAGGAAUAACCGGCUCGUCGCGGGUGAGAGUCCCCAUCGACCCCGCGGUUUGGUACCCAGACGUCGUCUCUUCCCAUCCUGGCGGUGCAGCAGCCGCCAAGGGUGGGGCUGCCCGCCCAUUAAAGGGGAACGUGAGAUGGGUUCAGACCGUCGCGAGACAGGUCGGUCUCUACCUGUCGGGGGCGUUGGCCGCCUGAGGGGAAGGUGCCCUCAGUACGAGAGGAACGGGGCGCCGCGGCCUCUAGUCUACCGGUUGUCCGGCAGGGCACUGCCGGGCAGCCACGCCGUAGGGGAUAACCGCUGAAAGCAUCUAAGCGGGAAGCCCUCCCCGAGACGAGGCGGCCGUUGCCCUGGGGGCAACCCCGGGGCACGAGGGCUCCCGUAGAAGACGGGUUUGAUGGGGGGGCGGUGUAACCCCCGAGGGUUCUCCCGAGGGGGGAGCCGGCCCCUCCCAAUCGCCCGAGCGUGCGGAC
rnacentral:rRNA from 1 species